rnacentral:lncRNA from 1 species
CUGUUUGAGAAUCAUUGUCUCCCGCACAAUAUAUAAUUUAUACUCAACAUUAAUCGUAGACAUAAUUUUUAGAUGUGGGUCUCUACAUAUGUGUUUGGAUAGAUAAAUAGAUGCUAAAUAGGUGAUAGAUGAUAGAUGGAUAAUAGAUAGAUCAUAGAAAGAUGGAUAUGUAGAUACAUAGAAAGAAAGAAAUCAUAUAUUAGACAUACAUUCAUAGACAGAGAGGCCCAAAUUUGUCUUUUUGAAUUUGGCUAAAAUCUCCAUUUAAAGAAAACACCCCUAAUAUUGAUUUUUCCCCAUUUAAUCUUAAAAGAAAUAAUAAUCUUACGAAGUUAGCAAGUGUUCAGGAAUCUGUCAAGAACAGAUUAUUAUGGGUUAUUAUUAUGGGUGUUAUGACAAUGAUACCCAAUGAAGCAAUUUAUAAUUAAAGCGUGUAGUAGAGAUCUCAAACCCACAUGCUUUGUGAAUUCUCAAGUCUGUCUUGUUACCCCAUGAAAGAAACUCCACUCAGGGAUGCUGAGCUUAUAUUUAUAUAGAAAAUAAUAGAGCAAGAAAUACAAUAGAGAGAUCAUCGUCAGAAAAAAAGUGUCGUUUUUUUAAAAAAAUUGUAAAAGCUUUAUAAGCAUAAGGCGUUUUUUUUUUAAAUCUAUUUUUAUUUGCACCUAUUUUGGUAGCAUGAUAACGGCAUUAUAUAUAUGGGAAUUACUUGCAUUUGCAAGGCGUUCUUAGAGAAGAACUUUACCUCUGAAGCCAUCUCAACCUUGUUUUAAUAAUUCCUUAAAAUGUCUUCGGACUAAUGCAGAAGCUAAGAUCACGUCUUUGAGAAAGCAUUGCCCAUGGCAGCGCUCCUGCAGCUUCAAAACCUCAAAAGUCCUCUUUCCAAUGUAACAAUUCCCUCCAAAUAAAUCUGCCUCAGUGGUGAAAUAACUGCGUAUAAAUGAGCAGCUUAAAAUUAGGUUGAAGUGAGAUGAGGAUUGCUCUUUAAAAUAUUGAGACCAUGAUGCUGAAAUUUUAUGGUUAACACUGAAAAUCUUUUGAGCUGAUUACUCCUAUUGCGUCCAUAGACACAUCAGUCUUCUUUUGCUCAUGUGUGUGUGUUUUUUAAAUUGAGCAAUCAAGACUUCAGUGAGAGGAGGAAAAAAAAUCGUUCAUCCCAUGGAGUUCUGAUCUUGUCUGUAUGAGACUUCACUGGGAGAGUCUGUCCUGUUCCUGGGCAUUGAGAAGGUUUAUGUCAGCAGUGUUUACUAUUACUAAUGCUAUUGCUUAUCUCAGGGUGAUUCAGAUGGGGAAAUUCAGGGUCAUGUAUGUCAUUCAUCUUUCUUCUAUUGACUUGGAGGUCCUUGCAACACACAGCCUUAAAACAAGUUGGACAACCAUCCCCCAGUUCUACACACGUAGCAACAUUGCUGCCUAUAAUAAGUCCAUUUAAUAUUUUGUUGAAACAUAGUGUUUAAAAGGAAGAAGAACAAGGCUUAUGAAUUCAGCGAUGAAUGAUGGUUAUGAUGUUGAUAAUUGUUACAGAAUACUUUUAAAUUGUAAAACAAUGUGUAAUUAAAGUCUGCACCAUUUAAGUUGACUUUUAUUAGGACAAGAGUAAGUCAGGUGAGCAGUAUCAUAAGUAUAGAAUUAACAGCUAAAAUUAAUACUACUUCCUUGAUUUAAGAAGAAGGGAUAAAAUGUACUGUUAUUUUAACACAGAGUUUAGUCAUCAUCCUCUCAAUGUUCUUGAGAUUGCUGGAACUGCAGGCUUCAUUCAAUCUUUUCUUAAAUAUUCUGUGAUUCUACUAAGGGAUAUGAUCAUUUAUUUUUUCAUAGAGAAAUACGCUCUCAAGAUUUACUGUGGACACACUUGUCCAUAUUAUAAAACCAUAUUUGCAAACUCACAUGCAUUUCUAAAAUAUAUUUGUGAAAUUUGCAUGGAACAAGUUUUUUCAAACAAAUCAAGCAAAAACACAUCUAAAUUGUACCUGCUUAAGAAUUAAAAUCUUAAGCAUUUUUGUAUGCUCUGUUCAAAAGUCAUUUCGUGGUUCAAAUGUUGUCUUUGUUUUCUGGCGAGUGAUAGAGAAAAUUACACUAACUUUUUAUCUCUGGACAAGAUGGUCUUAAAUAUAGCAUGUAGCCAAGAGAAGUGAGCACAAAGAAAUCGCAGACUGCUCAUUUUCCCAUGAAUUACAGGGAUUUUACUGCAUGUGAAAUCUCCGUCUUCUAACCUUGGUGCUACGGACAUUUGGGACUGGAGGACUCUCUGUGAGGGGCCUGUCCUGUGCACUGUAGGGUGUUGACCAGUAUCCAUGGUCUCCCCUCACUAGAUGCCAGGAGCUGCUUCCUCAAGGUGUGACAACCAAAAUGUCCCCAGACAUUGCCAAGUGUCCCUGGGGGCAAAAUGAAGCUGGUUGUGAAUAAUUACUCUAAGAGAGAAAUAAAAACAAUAUACAAAAUAUCUGAAAAUCAUAAAGUCUAUUCUUAGCUGGGCUCACUUCCCGGCUGGGCUGGACUCCAAGUUUCUGAUUGGAUUCAUGUGUCUUCAUGCUGGGACCCAGGGUGAGGGGCAGCAGACACUGAGUGCACGCUCCUCUUUGACAGAUAAUGGGAGCAAAGAGGACAAGCCAAAGCAAGCAGCCACAUUUAUAACCCACAUGGUGUAGUCUGUUCAAAUUUUUCGGCCAUAGGCAGUAACGUGUUCAAACCCAGUAUAGUGGGGCAGAAAUAUCUGCUCUGCCUCCUUUCAUGGGAGAUCGUGCAAAGUCCUGUGGCAAAAGGUAUAGACGUGUGAUUCUAUAAAAAGAAGAGAGUCGAGAAUUGGGAACAAUUAUGCAGUCUCCCCUUCUCACCAAGGAGUGCUCAGUAACUAUCAAUCAAAUUAAAAUAGAAAUUAAUCGCAGAAUGAGUCUGUGAAGGAGUGGGUGAAUGGGGGGAAGCAGUCAUAUUGGAAACGUCAAGAAAGGCACAUUUAUGCCCUAUGCUAGAAGCCCAUCUCAUGCUUUUGUUUAUUUAUAGUUUUAGCUUUUUUAAAGCUUUCUUGAAAAACAGCUUUAUCUAGAUAAAAUUUGCAUACCAUACAGUUCACCUAUUUGAAGUGUGCAAUCUAAUGGUUUUUAGUAUAUUCACAGAUAUGUGCAAUCAUCACCACAGUCAACUCUAGAACAUUUUCAUUGCCUCGAAAAGAAACCCUAUACCCUUUAGCUGUAAUCUCCUAAUCCUCCGAGACCUAGGUAACCGGUAAUCUACUUUCUGUCUCUAUAGAUUUUCCUAUUCUGGACUUUCGUAUGAAUAGACUUCCAUAAUAUGGGGUGUUUUGUGUCUGGCUUCUUUCGUUGAGCAUAAGGUUUUCAAGGUUUCAUCCAUGCUGUAGCAUGUAUCAGAACUUCAUUUCUUUUUAUGGCCAAAUACUAUUCCAUUACAGGGGAAGAUUACCUUCUGUUUAUCCAUUCGUCUAUGCAUGGACACUUGGGCUGUUUCCACCUUUUGACUAUUAAGCAUAGUGCUGCUAUGAACAUGUGCGGACAAGUUUUUGCAUUGACAUACGUUUUCAUUUCCCUUGGGUUUAUACCUGGGAAUGCAAUCGCUGGAUCACAAGGUUUUUGACAGCAUAGGUAAUCUUUUCUAUGACCUGAGAGGGCCUGUUCCUUUCAGAAUUGGAAGAGGAAUGUUUCAAGAAGUGCUGUGGAUAAAAUACAUCUUGGUGGCAACUGGGGAUUGCCAGCUUUGGGCCGUGGCUUUCUUAGGUAUAGGACUCAUGUCUUUUAUCUGGGAGAGGUGGUGUUCUUAGGGACGUUUAAGCAAUAUGCCAAGUUCCUUUUCUUUUACGCUGGGCUGUGUGUCAGGGGAGGAAGAAUAAAAAGCAGGUGUAGUGUUCGCCAAGACUGAGGUGUGAAGUCAGGAAGGCCUUGCAUGCAGGGGGUGGGCAAAAAUAGAUUAGGCAGAGCAUGCUCAAUGCCCAGGGUUAGACUUGGCCAAUAACGAGAAAUGGAGUAGAAAGGUACAAGAGAAAUUAAACCAACGGAGUAGAGGAAAAGGUCGGGGCACCAGCACCAAGAAGAGAGCUUGGCUUAAUCUCUGGCCUCGGAUGGGUUUGGGCAUGACCCUCCCAAGGGGAAGAUGCUGAGGGAAACCUGGUUGCAGGUGCAGGUGCAGUGCUGUCGUGCAGAAGCUUUUGCAAACGCUUCACCAAAAUGCAAUGCGGAAAUCUAGACGCCAUCCAUUGGCAGACUUUUAGUAUGCCUGUGUUUCUAUUUCUGCACCUGCACAUCCAUCAUAGUAAUUUUGCCUUUCUUCGUGAUUAGGAGAAAGAGAUGAUGGGUCUGAAUACCAAGGCUGCUCAUUGGAAAUGCUCUGGGCUUCCUCCUCCUUUACUGGAUGUCACACUCAGCAUCCUUUCGACAGUGGUUUGAAAUCAGUUACUCUCCCAGAACUCAUAACCUCAGGAUUCACUUAGACAGAGAAGGGAUGCAGGAAGCAUUGGGAAAAGAGCCAAUGCUUCAAAGGAAUUUUGUGCUUUUGUGGGCUCAGCAGCCCUCCAACCAGGGACCGUUAUUCUCAAGUUAUUGACAAGUUGGGAAACUGAUGCUUAGAUUACUUGUCAACCUCAGGCCCGGUGAAGGGUGUGGGUCGUGUUGAGACCAGGCUUUCCAACUUCCAAACCACAAUGACGUGAACAAAACAGGUUAUAACACCACGUCCUGCAGAUGGAGAGUAUCUAAGCCUGUGCAAUUUUUAAUUCUCACAUUUAACUCUUUCGGCUUUAUUUUGCACCCAUUCUGAUCCAAUGUUUGUUUCUUGCCUGAGAAGAGCCCCUAAUUAAACCCACAAAGGGCUGUGGGUAGCUUUGUGCUUUCUUAUGUUCCUGCUAGACGAAAACACCUGGGAGCUUGUUAAAUAUAGCCACACCCCAGGAGGUUCAAAUUCCGCAGAUUUGGGGUGGGGCCCAGGCAGCUGUGUUUAACAAGCUCCCCGGGUGAGUCUCAAACACACAGAAGUGUAUGAAACCGCCAAAUUAGGCAACUGUCGAGUUGCUUUGCAUUUAGGUUUGGGACAUUUUACUGUGGAAAGAGCUUCUGGAACGUGGUUUGCUCAUGGGCCCCCCUCUUUAUUUUGGUGUCAGGGCUUUCUUUAUGAAGGCUUAUGUUUUGGGCUGAAUUGUGCCUUCCCCACCCCCAAAUUUGUAUGUUCAGUACUAACCUCCAGAAUCUCAGAAUGCACCUUAUUUGGAAACAGCGUCGUUGCAGAUGUAGUUAGUUAAGAUGAGGUCAUUAGGGUGGGCCCUAAUGCUAUGGGACUGGUGCCCUUAUGAAAAGAGGCACAUGGGUCACAGACAUGCACAGACAGGGAGAAGCCCAUGGAAAGAUGAAGGAGGAGACUGGGAUUCUGCCUCUACAAGCCAAGCGACGACGCCGAGGAUUGCCGACACCCACCAGAAGCUGGGGGCCAGGCAGGGAACAGAGACUGGCCUAGAGCCUUUAAAGGGAACCAACCCUGCCCACACCUUGAUUUCACACUUCUGGUCUUCAGAACUGUAAGAGAGCAAAUUUGUAUUGUGUAAGCCAACCAGUCUGUGGUACUUUGUCAUGGCAGCCCCAGGCCACUAAUAUAGUUUAUUAGUGCAAAAGCAGAUACGCUGAAUGGCUUUUAGAACUGGGGGCAGGGGCAUCUUGAGGUGCAACUAAUUGGGAAAGUUAGAGGUGCAGAAGGUAGAGAGGGCAGCUGGGGGUGUCUUCAGGCAUGGGAUGCUAGAGAUACAAGAGAUGAACUACACGGGAGACAUGAAGAAAAUGAGAAUGAAGAGGGUGAGAUUCAGAACUAAGUGGGACCUAGAUUCCACAGUCCUUGCUGGAUGCUAGUUUUCUGGGAAGCUGGGGAUCCCAUGGAGAUGGUUGUGGGCGUGGUGGGGAAUUUUAGGCUCUAGGUCAGCUCAGAUGUGUGACGGGGCCAAGGCUGUCUGUCUGGGUGUGUGAGGAUCUCUCCUUCUCUUUGUGCCUCUCCCUCUCCCCUGCCAUCAUCUGGACCUAGCCCUCUGCAUCUCUGUCUUUCUCCUUGUAAUCACCUUCCUUAAUAUCUGGACAGCCUGGUGUUAACAUGACGAGGAGCUGCUUUCCACUUUGGUUUCUAGACUUUCUGGUCCUGUGCAUGAUGAAUCAAGCACAGAACCUCGCUGUUCCAAUCAUCAGUGACUCUCAAAGUCAUCCUGGACCAGCACCACUGCACUGACUAGGGAUUUGCUCAAAAUGCAGAAUCUUUGGUCCAUCCCAGACAUGCUGAAUGGGAAUCCCUGGGAGCAGGGCUGUGUUCAACAAGGCUUCCAGGAGGUUCCAAAGCACGUUCAAGGGUGAGAGCUCAGGGUACUCCCGUGGAAGCGAGGAGAUGGAGUAGGGUUUCUUCUUCAUGGAGACCCCCAAGGUUUACUGCCUGAAUCCCUGGGAGGAUGGUGCCCUUCUCCUGGAGCAGCAACCUAAGGUUGAUAUAUGAUGAGCAAAAUACAUGCCAGUCUGAGCACCACUGCAGCCCACCCCUUGGUGAUGGCCGUGGGCUGGAUGCUGUGAAAGAUGACAUGAGUGGAGCCAUAUUAAAACAGAGCUGGAGCAGCCAUUUCAGAGGAACUAUCUUGCACGUCUUCUUUCCUUUAUCUUCCAAACUUUACCAAACCACCAACAUUCCAAGAAGUCAGUAAGAAUGAGAAUAUCCUGUUUACAAGGACUGAUGGAACUAGACUUUGCUGAUGACUGAGGUGCUAUCCAAUCAAUGAAGUACAAGUCUAGCCUUGGGCCUGAUGACCAAACCUGAAGCCAAUCUAUGAAGUACAAACCCAGCCUCACCUCAUGGAACACCAAUGAACUCUUCUUUAAUACAACUUACCUCAUCUUCCUCCCUCUCUCCCCUAAAAACCCUGUGUCCCUCUCCAGAAUCAGGACACCAUUUGAGUUUCUACUCAAAGAUGUGUGUGCUGAACUGCAAUUCUUGAGACCCCCAAAUAAACUUUUUGCUUCUCUGGCAGUUUAUGUCUUGUAUUUGUUGACAACCCUGAGGCCUAGGCUGGUGCAACAUUCAUUCCUUUGGAGUCAGUUUACAGGAGGGCGUGGGGCUCUGUCAAGGCUGCUAAGACUCAGAGGCUUCUGCCUGUUGGGAGAAAAGUUAGAGCUCAUUUCUGUUGGACUCAAAACCAGACUCUUCUAGGCUUUCACAGGGGUUCUCAGUCAGGGGUGAUUCUGUCCUGUGGACAACACUUGGCAAUGUCUGGAGGCAUUUUUGAUUGUCAAAAUUAAGGAGAUGGGACUACUGGCAUGGAGUGAGGCCAGGGUGCUAUUGCAUUAGUUUCCUAGGGCCACCAUAACAAAUGACCAUCCUCUCCUGGCGUCCCUGGGCUGGUGGCCACCUCCCUCCCAUCUCUGCCUCCAUCUUCAUGUGGCUUCUCCUCUGUGUCUGUGUCUCUCCUCUUCUGUCUCUGAUUAAGGACACUUGUCAUUGGAUUUAGGGCCACUCCCAUCCAGGAUGGUCUGAUCACAGAUCUUUCACUUAAUUAGGUCUGCAAAGACCCUGUUUCCAAAUAUGGUCCCAUUCACAAGUUCAGGGUGGACAUACAUUUUGGGGGCUACCAUUCAACCCACCACAGGGGCCACCUUAGAAUUCUGCCAACCACACCCACUCUUUUCAAUGUUUUUCCUAACAAGGAGAGACAGAAGUUUACCUGCAAGAUUCGCUUUCCAUGAGAAUACAAUACAUGGAUGGCUUCUUCAGACAGCCUCAGAUCAAAUCGGACCUCUGAAACAUUGACAAUUUGCCUAUUUCUAACCAACCAAACAGUUACUUCCACAAAAGUCUUUUCCAUCUGCUGAUUUGGUUUUUUCCCGUUCUGUAUUUUUGGGGGAAGUCUCCUCUGAGCUGCGUUUCGCUGCUUAUGUACUUUCUUUAUUUUGAAAGGACCAUGUGUGAAACGAACUUCCAGUGGAUGAGGGGAGGAUGUAUUUAGCAUCUAGAUUUUCCAGAAAAUCAGCUCUCUUCUGUGUCACCCAGCCCUGCCAAGCAAUUACAUGGUUUUAAUACAGAUUUGAACGGUUGCUAUAAUUAUGCUAACCGUCUAAUCCAAUCCAUAAUAAAAGUGCCAUUACGAGCCUAAUUACUAUAUAAUCAGAAGUUUUCCAGCUAAUGGGACCACGUUCUUUGCAAGGCAAGGAAUGUGUGCUGUUUCCAUGCAUUAGCAAAGUAAUUAUAGUGUUGUAAAAAAACUACAGUGGUUUGUAAAAAAAAAUUUUUUUUUUUUUAGUUUAGGUACCCUUUAUUGAAUAGAAUUUUCUUUCUUGAUGAGAACAUGCAUUUAAGUCUCCAAGAGGAGCCUUGAGUGCGUUCGAUGAGGCAUUCUGUUUUCAUUGCAUAUGUUUGUCUCAAGGAGAGGGGAAGACACCAGCUCAACUGUUAAAAGUGUUUCUUCAUCGGAAAUAUUAGGAAUGAGACAUCUUUCACGGAAAUGUCUUGAGACUUAAACAAUAUAUGUAAGUGCAUUUUGUCAACGAAUGCUCAAAAUUUAGUUAUUAUUAGUGUGUGGAUUAUUGCGAUAAACAGAAACUGAGUGAGCUAAACUGGCUGGUCAAAUGGUUCAUGGUGUCAUCUGGCUUGAGUAGGGCUGAGGUUUGUGGAGCCUGAAAUGACCUCCUUUGGGGUCGUCUGUGGGGGUUCCAGCAUCUUCCAGAAGGUGCCAGUUGAGAUAAAAACAUAUGUGAGAAAGGAAAAGUGAAACCAUCAGAAUUCAUUAUUUUUAUUUUAUUAUUUAUUAUUUUAACUUUAUUAUUGCUUACUAGAACAAGUAGAUGUCCCUUAGGAAAAAUAAAGGCUCUAGAUCUUUUUAACGGCUUUAUUACACAGACUAGAUUGAUGCAUGAACGUUGUAGCCUGAAAGAAUGAGUGCGCAGACAGUGGCUAAGGAAUAAUGGCCGGGAGAAGGAUCAAGCAGUUGUGACUUAUCUGUUUGCUGCUGUGUGAAUGAUGGAUGUGGUGGAAUGUUGGAGGAGCACAGGUGUUGACAGAGGAGUUGACCUUCUCUUGGUUAGUAGACUUUGGACCAGUGUUUCUCAACUGGGGGAUGUCUUUGCCCCCUUGGGAACAUUUGGCAAUGUCUGGAGACACGUUUCGUUGUCACCCUUGAGGGGUGGAAAAGAGGGAGAGAUGGAGACAGAGUCUGAGAGUACCCAUGACUUUUCCUCCACUAUUUUAACCAUUAUGAAGUAUAUAAUUCAGUGGCAUUUGGCACAUUCACGAUGUUGUGUAACCACCACUUCUAUCUAGUUCCAGAACAUUUCAUCACCCCAAAAGGAGACCCCCAUGCACAUUAAGCAGUCGCUCCCCCUUCCGCCUCCUCGAAGCCCCGAGUGACCACUCACCUGCGUUUGCCUCUUCUGGACGUUUUGAAUCAAUGCAGUCAUAGGCUAUGUGACCUUUUGUCUUUUAUCUUUCUGGAUCUGAGUUUCCUGGGGCCGCAGUCACAAAGUACCACUGACUUGGGGGCUUAAAAGAAGAGAAAGUUAUUCUCUCACACUUCUGGAUGCUAGAAGUCCAAAAUCAACGUGUGGGGAGGUCCAUGCUCUUUCUGAGCGUUCUAGGAUGGGGGGAUCCUUCCUUGUCUAUGCCCAGCUUCUGGUGGCUUGCCGGCAGUCUUUGGCGUUCCUUGCUUUGUGACUGCGUCGCUCCAAUCUCUGCCUCCAUCAGCACAUGGUUUUCUCUCUGUAUGUGUCUUCCUAUAAGGACACAAGUCAUAUUGGACUAGGGCCUCUCUGCUCCACUCAGUAGGACUUCAUCUUAACUUGAUUGCAUCUGCCAAGACCCUAGAUCCAAAUAAGGUCCCAUUCUGAGGUACCGGGUUAGGACGGCAGCAUAUCUUUUUUGGGGGGUGGGAGGCACAGUUGAACCCACCACAAUAGAAGUGUUGAAAAUUCAGUGGUGAUGAUUGAUACUGGUUUUUAAAGAAAAACGAUAUUAAACUUGUAUUUCUAGUUUUGGUACUUAGUGAAAUGGAACUCUUCCAGCAGGUCAGAACAUUUUACAGCUUCUGUGUGACCAGUUCCUUGCAUUUAUAGAUGGUUUUGUUUUAAGUAAACGAAAAGGGACAAGAAGCUUAAAUAACCUACAGAUUGAAGUUUAUAUGAUACAACAUUAAUCAUGUGUGGAUAAAUAUUUGUAAACAUGAUAUUAGGAUUAACAUCUCUUCAACAAGCAUUGACCGAGUGCCAACUGUGGGCACAGAGCUGGACUCAAGAGCCAUAAAGAACACAAGGUGGGGUGCUGUUUCUCAACUAAAAGACAUUCUGAUUCCUGGCAUGAUUAUCUGUGAUCCAACAGCACUCAGGCACCAUUGCCACUUCACCAGCCAUACUAUUUUAAUGCAAUCUUUUAAAAAAAUCAAAAACUGCAAAAAAAUUAUAAGUGCGUGAUGAGCUACAAGUCAGCAUUUUAAAGAAAGACAGGAUCAGUAUGCACAGAUGAUGCUCAACCAGGCUAGUUCAUCCUCUGCCUUCCUCCUGCAGGGAAGGCAAACCAGGGGUGCUCUCAGGCUGAGGACCCUCCUUCCCGAAACAUCAAUCCAAAAGACUCAAGGAAGCUUUGGAGGAGGCCAGGUCCAGCUGUCUUUUAGUGCUCUCUGGAGACCCAGACCACUUCCUUAUCACCCUCUGCCCCAGCUGCUCCCCUUUCAAAGGCAGCAAAGAGCAUGCACCCCUCUCCUCCACCCAGAGGAAGCAUCCUCCGUGAGUCAUUUAAUCCACGUGCAAAAAUACAGGCAUGAGGGCUAAUUCCCUUUGGAAUGCUUUCCCACAUGGGUCUUGUUUUUGCUAUUUCGGGACACCUAGCCUUGUGGUUGCAGAUGGGUUUGGCACAGGCUGAAGGCACAGAGGUCCAUCUGCCAGCUUCUUUCGUCAUCCAAUGACAGACGUCUCCCUUAAGGGACUGAGGGCAUCUUGUCCCUGCUUCCAGCGCCCGUGCAUGGAUGUUUCCCUAAGAGAGUAACAAAGUGUCUGUUCUUUCCAGAUUCACCGCAGAGAAGGUAGAACAGAGUGGCCUUCACAUGGCGUGAAUGUUUAUCUUUGGUACCCGACACGCUGUUGUGUUUACACAGACAAUCUCGGUUUCCCAAGGAAAUAUUUGCAAGUCCUAUUUUUGACUACUGGGGAUGCACAUCCACAGUUUAGAAGCUGUGAGAUGCAUCCGAUGUGCCUUGAGAGGGUACAUUGAAAGCUGUACAGUGUUUGUGCCAGAAAAGAAGAAAUGGCACAGAUAAAUGAGCUAAGUGUCCAACUGAAGAAGUCAGAAAAAGAACAGAGUACACACAGAGAAAAGCAGGAGGCAAGAAAUGAAAACCAGCAGUGUUUAUUAUGUUAGAAAAAAAUGACAUAGAGAGGAUCAAUGUAGCCAAAAUUAGAAGCACUUUAAAAAUGUUAAAUCAAGUUAGUUUUAUUUUUAAUUUAAUAUUAGUAAUUUUAUGAAAUUUAAAAUUAUUUAUAAAAAUAAUUUAAAAAUUAUUACGUUCAUUUUAAAACAGUUUAAUUUUUGUAAAAUUGGUUUUGUUUUCAAUUUUACCUUUCACACAUUAAUUUAAUUUAAUUUUUUGAGGAAGAUUAGCCCUGAGCUAACUGCUGCCAAUCCUCCUCUUUUUGAUGAGGAAGACUGGCCCUGAGCUAACAUCCGUACCCACCUUCCUCUACUUUAUAUGUGGGAUGCCUGCCACAGCAUGGCAUGCCACGCAGUGCCAUGUCCACACCCAGGAUCCGAACCAGCAAACCCCGGACCACAGAAGCGGAAUGAGCGCACUUAACCGCUAUGCCACCGGGCCGGCCCCUAAUUUUAUUUUAAAUAAAAUUUCACUUUGUAAUAAAAUUAAAAUACACUAAAUAAAAUUUAAAAAAUACACUAAAAAAAUAAAAUAAAAAUAAAAUAGAAUCAAAAAGAUUCUGGUAAGAUUGAAAAUAAAAAGAAAAUACAAUGUGCCAAUGAAUAAUGCUAAGAAUAUAAAGGAGAUGUAAUGUCUUACAAAGAAAAUGAGGUAAUAUUAUGAAUAACUUUGUCCUGGUACAUAUAUAAAAAAGUUGGACACAAUGGGUUCAUUCACAGAACAAAUAUUUUACCAAAACUGACUCAAGUACAUAUGUAAGACAUGAAAGUAUUAUAGAAAGUUAAUACAUUCUCACCAAGAAAAUGCUAUGCCAAAGUGAUUUCAUUAGGUAACCGGAAAUUUCAGUAUUAUCUAAACUACUCUAGACAAUAGAAAAAGAAGCAGCACCUCCAAAGUAUUUUAUGAGGUCACUAAUAUUUUUAGAUAAAAAGCCAAUAACGAAAGCAGAGGAAAGAAAAUUACAGACCCAUCACGCUCGUUGUGAGCAAAAUUGAGAAUUUCAAAGCAAAGCAUUAGAAAAACAAAUUAAGUAAGCUAUUAAAAGAGUUUGGUUUAUGUCGGGAAAGCACAGUUCAACAUUAAUGUAUGAUUGUACAUUAAAUAUGACCAUCUUAAACGAGAGAACAAAAAAAAAUAAAAACAAAUGUUUCUUCUAUGAAUUGAUGCAGAAGAUAACUGAUAAAAUUCAGCAUCCAUUCCUGAUUUAACAAACUGGGAGUAAAUCAGAGCUUCCUUCAUCCAACGAAGGCGUUCUAUAAAACAGCUUAUUGCACAUCAUACUAAACAUUGAAAUUUUGAAAGCAGUGUCCUUAAAAUCAGGAGCAAUUCAAGGAUAACUUAUCAGUAUUUCUAUCUCACAUUGUCCGGGAGGUUUUAGUCAGUACAAUCAGACAAGAAGAAGAAAAAAAACGAAUGAGAACUGAAAAAAAGAUAAUCAUAUUAUUUGCUGAUGGUAUUUUACAUGUAUAUAUAUAAAACAUAUCCCCCCCCAAAAAAAACUUAUAGGUAGAGCAUGGAAUUAAUGAGUUUAGCCUAUUGCUACUUAUUUUCAAAGUCAAUUUCAUUUCAACACACCAGCACAAGAAUAUUUAAUAAUAUAAUAAAAUAUAAACCAUUCAUAAUAAGGAAAAGUAAGGUCUCUGGGAUUGCUCUACCAAAAGAAAUGCAGAUUUGAGGACCAUCUAGCCUGGGAGAGUCCCUUUCACAAAGGAAUGGAGCCCUCCAAAGAAGUGAGGAUGUGCAGAAUGGUUGUAUACCAUCAAAGAGAGUGUUUCACAUAUGAUUGGAAUGUCCCUUUUACAACAGUCGCCAGAUCGUCCUGUCAGCACAGUGAUUCACACAGCAAUUGAUGAACACAGCAGGUAGCAGAUCUGUGGUCUGGAGCUGGGUGGUCACAGCAGGUCGGCAAUCAAUUCGUAGCCUAGGGAGAGAUGCUUGUCUUUAAGGAAAUGCCAAUGUGGGGGAAGUUACAUCUUUCUUACAGGGCAUUGUUCUUGUCGUUGGGACACAGUAAAUAUUUAAAGCAGAUACACAAUGCGUGCUCAAAGGCCACGUCUGGCCCUUUUGGAAAAACAAGGUCAGGCCGAAUUAGUUUUACACAAUAUAGCUUCCUCAUAUACCCCAAUAUAUCCUAUUGCUCAUCAUUUAUUUAUCAAACAUCUAUGGUACCCCUCAGGUACCUGGCUUCAAUCCCACUGACUUUUUUCCCUUCCUCAUUCUUGUCGGAAGUGGGGUGUCAAUCCUGCUGGCUACUUCCUAGGGGCGAAAGGGGGUGAAGAUGGGGAAACUGAGGAAGGAAAUUGUUUUUUCAACCUGAGAUUGAAAAUACUCUCGGGUACCGGGCUAUAUUUUGCAUUUUGCAUUAUUGUUAUUUGAUAUUCCAUAUUUGAUUAAAGCAAAUUUACAGAACCCAAAACGCAAGAACCCGAUUUGUUUUACUUAUCUCACUGGUGUCAGCAGUCUUAACCCAGAACAGUAGCUUAAGGUCUUUCAGUGGCUCACAUGACCGGUCUUCUUCCUUUUCAGUUUCUGAGUGCUCUGGUCUUGGGGGCGGGGAGCAAGCCUCACUUGGGGUGUGAUGAAUUCAGUUUGACUCCAGCCAAGGAACAGGAUUUUUAUCCAAGAGACAACAAGCAGAAACCCUGAAGGAAAUGACUGAUGCAUUCUACUCUAUGAAAACUAAGAACUUCUUUUCUUGAAGACGUCAGUGAGUGAAAAGACAAGCUAUAGACUGAGAGAACAGAUUUGCCUUAAAUAAUCGACAGAGGAGUAGUAUUCCUAAUAAAGAACUCCAACCUAUCAACUUGAAAAGAGCACAAUUGCAGAGAAAUGGGUAGAAGACUCAAACAGGCAUUUCAAAGAAGAAGAAAUCUAAGUUACAAAUAAAGCAAUGGAAGUGGCUCGCUCAGUAGCAGUCAGGGUUAGAAAAUUAAAACCACAAGUGCUAUCGCCUAAUAGCAAAGCCGGCCACAGACGCGGAGGCAUGGGAACUCAGGCUCUGCUUGCAGACAAGGAAAUUGCUGCAGCUACUUGGAAAAACCCUGUGGCAUUACUCAGUAAAGAUGAGGAUAUGCAUAUGACUCAGCAAUUCCACUGAUUACUUACCCUGAGAGAACGCCUACAAAUGUGUUCUAGGAACUCAUGGCACCCAUGUCUGUAGGAGAAAAGAUGGGGGACAAUCCAAAUGGUCACCGAGAGAAAAAAAAUGUGUAAUUAGAUCGUGUGGUAUGCAGACAGUGGAGAAAAUGAGUGAAAUAUAGCGAAGGACAUCUACAACAUAAUUCCUGUAAUUCUAUCAACUGAUUUAUUUACACUAUGUGGUGAGAAUUUACCAGCAAUUUUGACAUCGUGUAAAUGCAGCAAGAGGUCGACCAGAAUUUCAGAACUGGAACAGACCCGGAAUGAAGAAAUGUCUGUGGAGAAAACCACUUGAAAAUUAUAACUGGUGGUAGAAUUGUUGAGAAGCAGCUUUUUUCUCUCUCUGUUUCACUAAGCACUAUAUGCCAUAUAUCAUGGGACACUGGUCCAUGUGUCAGCUUUGAUCUCUCUCUAGGCAAGAAGUCAACUAGACUUCGUCGUGCAAAGCUAUUUGGAAAAUAUAUUGUCUUCUUUAAAAUGGAAGCAAUUUAUUGUUCAUUUUAUAAGUGUACGUUUCCGUUAUUUUCGUGUGUCAAUAAAAUAACCUAAAAUUGAUCUAAUAACCAACAUAAGGCAUACUGUCUGGUCUUGGUGAAACAGGCGAGUCUUAAUUAUUAAAGGAAGUAAAUGUACUUCCAACAUAAUAUGAUCUUAAAAUGGUCCUUGGAAGACUUUCUUAAUUGUGAUUACUCCCUUGUCAAAGUUCAGACAGUAAGACUGAUUUCACAGAGUAAAAAUCGUAAAAAGUGAAUUCAUUUCGAUCCUGUUUCCUCAUCACCCAAUCUGGUGGUUCCCUUUCUCAAUAUUUUUUUUUAAAUACACAUUUCUGUUCAAUCCUCUUGGGUCCUAAUUCAGAAGUUAUCUUUGUCUUUCUUCUCCUUUUAGAAUGCUGUCAGGCACCACAUCCUGUUGACUUAGCUUUAUCAGCUCCUUCAAAUUUGAACCUCUCUUUCUUUAUCUCUGUCAUCAAUCUCCUUGCCAGAACUACAGGCAAAGACUGGGUUUCUCUUUGGUCUGUGACAAGCCCUGAUCAUAGCAGACAGAAUUGUGUUUCUUAGAUAUUAGCGGUCUGUUCAGGCCAAGACUCUCAAAAGCUUUCUUUUUCUGUCACUGGAAACAUAUCAAGGGGACAUCCAGUUCUUGAUCCUUCUCAACCGAGGCACGUGUUCCCUCAUGAUGAGGGGGCCUAUGUUUACCACCUGGCCCUUUCCAGAAAGUGUGUGUCAAUCUGUGGUGUAGACAAACAUGGUUCUUGUCCUCGCAGACUUCCUCAUCUCUACUGAGGAUGGAGAGAGGUGAGUACACCCUUGCAGGACAUUUGCUCCUGUCCGAAGCGUCCAUAAGCCAUUUGGGCCAUGCCAAAAGGUCUUUGGGACCAAUGCUUUGUGGACCAAAUGUCAUGAAUGUUUUGGACAGGACCAAAUAUCAAGGCCCUUUUGCUGUGGACCAAAUAUCUUUUUUAAAAAAGUUAUUUUAUUGAGGUCAUAUUGGCUUAUAAUAUUGGUGUAAAUUUCAGGUGUACGUUAUUAUAUUUUAGCUUCUGUAUAGACUACAUUGUGUUCACCACCAAAUGUCUAGUUUUUAUCCUGGACCAAAAAUCUUAUGAACGUUUUGCACGGGAUCAAAUGCCUGCUUAUCGAAUAUACAAUUAUAACCUGUUGUGGUAGAUACGAGGGUGAGGGCAGAACAGAGCAAUAGUGCUGCCUUCACACAAUACUGCUGGAAUUCAAUCAGAUGAAGGAUGCAACUGGCUACACCUCUUUGCCCAUAGCAGCUGUCUCGUCAGCGUCCCUGGAAGGAAUGAAUGAAUACACCAGGCAUUCCAUCAGACAUUACAAGGAACUCUACUAAACAUCCCUAACUUUUCAUUUUCCUUUGAAUACCACCAGCUUGAGUUUUGUUUUUUCUCACUUUUUCCCUACCUAUUCAUCCUCUGCUCACCGCCCCCCCGCCCCGCAAAUGGUUUAUAUGCACUUCAGAGAAGGAAAUUAAAAAAAAAAAUCAAUUCAAUAAAAAGUUAUUAAGGGCUUAGGAUGUGUAAGUGUCGGUGUUGGGUUUUAAACAUAUGAACAGGUGAGGACCUUCGUAUGAGGCAGCCUGGGCUGCCACAACUGAAUACCACAGACUGGGGAGUUUAAAGAACAGAAAUUUAUUUUCUCACAGCUCUAUAGGCCGUAAGUCCAAGAUCAAGUGGUGGGCAGUGUUGGUUUCUGGCGAGAGCUCUCUUCCUGGCUAGCAGACGGUCAUCUUCUCCUUGUGUCCUCACAUGGCCAAUUCUUGCACUCACUGAGAAAGAGAGGGAGAGAGGUCUCACGUCUCUUUCUCUUCCUAUAAGAGCACAGUCCUCUGGGAUCAGGGCACCACCCUACCAACCUCAGUUAACCUUCAUUACCUCCCUAAAGGUCCUGUAUCCAAAUACAGCCACGCUGGGGGUUAGGGUUUCAACCUAUGAAUUUUUGGGGAGUGGGGUGGGGAGCAAUUCAGUCCCUAGCAGCCUUAUUCAGGGUUGUGUGCUGAUUCCAAGGGACAUGACAGUUCCCAGCAGAUCCUAACACAAGAUCAGGGUACGCUCCAUAAAUGAGGUAAAAAGGACCAUUGAUCCCGAGGAAAGCGCCCAUAAGAUGGCUCAUGUCACCCCAGCAUCGGUUCUCUGUUGGGUGUGUCGGAAGUCCUCAGCAAGUAGCCCAACGCUAUUUACUUUGGUUCUCAGUCUGAUAUCAUCAAUUGUUAUCUCAACUGACUUGGCCGGUCAACUUUUUCGUUACUCUGCCGAACAAUUCCUCUGUAAUCUCCCUUCGAAAUCUCCCUGGACCCCGAAAUCGUUGUGUGGGCACGCCCACCCAAACUUGGAUGUUAGAAAUGCAUUGAAGAGCUAAAAAUGCUAAUCCUUAGACCUGGAGCUGGUUUUAUUGCCCUUUGUGGGCUGUGGUUACUUUAUUUUGGGGGAUUUUUUUCACUAAUAUUAAGGAUAAUGAUUAUAUUCAAAAACCAUCUAUAAUACAAAGCCCUCUGAAGGACUGAAGUAUAAGCCUCAGGCAUAUUUCAAGGUUCUUAGGCAUUUCAGACCCAAAGACGCAACAAGUUUUCAGUCAGCCAUGGGUUUCCUAGUACAACCACACUGAGUGUGACCAAGUAAGGUUUGGGUCUUUAGAGAAAGACCAAGUAGCUAACCAACCAAGAGAACAAGUCUGUAAUAAGUUCCAUGUCCAUUUUUCCAACGUGUGGCUGCCAGAUCAGAAUAAGAUACAGCCCCAUCUUCAAGCACGUCCCGCUUCCCCUGGGACAGCGCCUGCGAUUGUGAGCUGCUUCUCUCCAGGGUCGUCUUUGCAGGGGCACGUUCGGGUUGGAAUCUGUGCCCUCAAGUAGUGGCUGAACUCUCGUUUCAUUUACCUAGGUUGUUGCCAAUGCAAUUGUUAAAUAUAGGAAAUGACAGAAAAGCAGAACCCAUAACUAAGAGGACUAGAGUCAGGAGCACAAUGGCUGGCAGAGACAUUUCUCCACGUAAUUCUGUGAAGUUUCUGAGAAAGAAAACACACAAUUGCCUCCGGACUGUUGGAAACUGAUACGUACAUUCAAGGAAGCUUCUUCAAAGACUACACAGGAGGACUCCACUUUCGUUACUCUUUUUGGAAAUAUGCAGGCCCCUAUCUGCCAAAGCAACUCACCUUUUCAUUUGAAAUGUCUUGAGUUAGGUAAAGGAAAGGUGCAGCCAAAGGCGACAUAUUUGCUUGCUUGUUUUCCCCUUUGAGUAGUCUGCAUUUUAAGUAGAAAAAAAUGAACACGGUUUCUGCACUGAGUUUCUCAGUGUCCGAAUAGGACUGCUCUCAACAGGGCAGGUAGUGCAGCUUGCUGCCUCUCGGGCAAGGAUGUGAGCCACCUGCUCGCUUGGCUACCUGCGCUCAGGUGCCCCUCAUCUAACUCCUCAUCUCUCAGUCUCCGGGAUGGGCCCUUCGGUCUGGAAACUCAGAUCCUUCUACUCUAUGAGGUUUUUUUAGGAAUAUCAUUUUAAUCCUGUUUUCUUUUCCUUUUUUUCUGAAACUCCUAUUAUUCAGAUGUUUGACCGACUAGGUUGAUCUUUUUCUUUAUGUUCCCCGUUCCCUCUUCUGUCUCUGUCUUAUUUCUUUCCUCCUUUCCAGAUGAGUUACUUAUGUUUAUCUUCCAGCCACUUUAUGAAUGCUUGUUUUUGCCUUCCCUCUUAAAUUCCAAGAGCUCCUUCUUGUUCUCCAGAUACGUCUUUUUUAUACUGUCCAAUUCAUAUUUCAUGGCAAAUAGCUUCUCUUAGUUUUCUGAGAAUUCCAUGUUUUAUUUGAAUUCUUCUGUUCCUGCCUUGUCUCUUUGUGACUCCCUUAAGGUUGCUGUUUACCGUAUUUAUUUGUUUUUGCAUCUGUUUCCAUGUUGGAGCUUUUCCUCAAAUGCCCGGUGAGCCUUGGCUCUUCAUUCUUCUGUCAGAGCCUGUGUGUGUGCAAGCCUGGCUGCCUGGGGGCACCAGUACUGGGUGACAGCAGGAGCAUAUGGCCAUUUCUGCGGAGUUUUCAUAUUUUACUAUCUCUGAAACUUUUGUCUUGGGUCAGUCACUUCCUCACGGAGGAAUUCCUAACAGAAAUGUUUUCUGGAUGCCCUAUGGGAAGAGGGGAAUGGAUAUUUUAACAUGCAGUAUGCAGGCUUUCUCUCUCUUUCUUUUAAAAUUAACCAUUAUAAAGUGAACCGUUCGGUGGCAUUUGGUACAUUCACAAUGUUGUGCUAGCACCAUCUCUAUCUAGUUCAGAACAUUUUCAUCACUCAAAAAAACCCAGUAUCUGUCCAGCAGUUGCUCCCUGGCCCCUGCGAACCAGCUAAAUCUGCUUCCUGUUUCUAUGAAUUUCCCUGUUCUGGACAUUCCAUAUAAAUGGAACCAGACACUAUGUGGUCUUCUGUGUCUGGCUUCUUUCACUUACUUAAUGUAGUGUGCAUCAAUGCCUCACAUCUUUUUAUGGCUGAGUAAUAUUCUAUCGUAUGGAUGGACCACAUUGUGUUCAUCCAUUCAUCUGUUGAUGGACGCUUCUGUUGAUUCCACCUUUUGCCUCUUGUGAAUAAUGCUGCUGUGAACAUGCAUGUGGGUGUGCUUGUUUUGAGUCUGUUUUCAGUGGUUCUGGGUGUCUAUCUAGGAGUGACACACUUUCUCAUUCCGUCCUUUCCUUCAGCACCGUAUCUCACCUUGGCCCUCAGCUCUUCCUGGUAUCCACAACUCCAUAUCCUUGCUCCUUCAUCAUUGAUUCCAAAGAACACAUUCGCAGUAGUUUGCCAAAGCUGGAAAAACAUGUUCACUGGCUUCAAGGAGGGGGAACGAUUCUUACAGGGUUUUCCAACAAAUCUGCUGUUUCAGCCCUGCCUCUGUCCGUCUACACCUUGAGAGUCACCUGCUGCCUCCAAUUCCUGAGAUGGUCAAGAGUUCUGGAGCCAGUUUCUUGUUGCUUCCCCCGCCCCUGCCCCCCUGCCCCCACUAGCUCUUCCUUGCUUUCAUCUCCCUCCAGUCGCCAAAGCAGUUACUACUACCCCAUUGGCCCCCAGACUUUCCAAAGGUCAUCUUUUAUCUACUAUCUCUGAACACAUUCUCUCUGUUCUUUGUUUUCUCUUUAAUACCAGCAUAGAUAGGCUUUGGGAGGGAGAGAGAGAAAAGAGAUAACUGGCUGUAUUAAAUCAGCCAUAUUUAACAGCUAGUCCAUUUUUUUGUUUAUAAACCUGCAUUUCCCAUUAAUCUCUCAUUAAACUCAGAGCCAGGCAAGGGCACAUGGAAACAUUCUCUCAGCUUUUAUCCCUGGCUCCUUGCACAGUGCUUCAUAGCAUCGUCAAUCAGAACGUGUUCAUUAGGUGGGCAGACGUCAUCCAUCAAUGUCAGAGUUAAUUAGCACCUAGAGGUCCAAAUAUUUCUCCUGCUCCUCACACUUGCUGCAUAAAAAAUUAGAGAAAUUAAGCCGAGAUUGCCUAUCCAUGUGAUAGAAGGGGAAAUACAUGACUUGAAAUAAGAAGGUUUUAAAAUAUCCAAAAGUAUAAGAACAGUCAAGGUUCUGGAUCACCAGGAGACUGGGAGACUCCCCUUGUGGGGAAUGGCUGUGGCAUUUCAGAGCAUGAAAGAUAAAGAGAAGAAACUGUAGAAUAUUAAACAGUGAGAGACAAAGGGUUAAGGAACAGAAAAGAGAUUGGACUUUGGUGCAGAGGCUCUGGAAGCUCAAAGCCAACAGUGAAUGCCUUCACCAUUUUGGGGGGAAGUGCCUAGGAUUGCACUCCCAACCCAACGAAGCCAUAUGAGGUGAAGGCUGGUGGUCAUGAGGAUGCAGAAUGCCUCAUGGUGGUACCUCCCAUGUACAGUUGCUUGAAAUGUGCUGGAAGAUGCAGUUCAAGAAGACAGGAGGGAAGCAUGAGGAAGACAGGAGAUUCAGGAACUGGGGUAGCUAAUGGGAGAGAGGUCAGGGGGCUCUCGGGGAAUUCUACAGGAUGAAGACAAAAAUAACAUCCUGUGAUCAUGAGUAGGGGACUGUUCUAGCAUCUUACACUCUAUGUCAUUUAAUCCACAUUCCAGGACAACAGCUGUGGGGGCGUCAAAGAAAAUAGUAAACCCACACUGCAGCAGGAGGUUGGAGGGACCCAGAAAGCUGUGUUAAAAAAACCGAUAGACUCCCUCAUGUGGUUGAGUGUGUUCAGAAGGGAUGUGCUGUAUAAUAAUAAGUCCAUGAUAAGAAUAAAAAAGGCAUGUAGCAAAAAAGAGGUGAUUAGUAAGUCUAGGAGAAGCAAGAAAUUAUGCAAGGAAGGGAAGGGAAGCACAUCUCAGUGUUUAUAGUGUAUUAGUUUAGUAAAGAUUAUGUUAUAGCAGGAUGAUGAAUAGAAAGGGGGUGUGUGUGUGUGAGUGUGUACACACACAUGCUAGAUGAAAUAAAGAUGGAUGAGAAACAAAAAAACAUCCUCCAGCAAACAGGAAGUGAAUGGAUAUCAUCUAAAUCUAACAAAAAGAGAUUUCUGAGUAAAUAUGUUAUUUCGAAAUAUAGGAACAAGACCAGAAAAAAGUAAGAGUGAAUAUUGAAGAGAAGACACAACCUGGGGACUAUUUAAUUUUUUGGACUUUAUACAUAUAUCAUUUUGACAAUAAUACAAAUUAAAUUUAAAAGGAAAAGGAGAAAAAUUCUUGGAGAAUAAGAAAGCAUGACAGAUCCCUGAGUGAGUGGACAUAACAGGGGAACAGAUCCAUACACAUGGAUCUGUAGACCAGGUUCAGAAUCACCUCAGAACAUUCUGCAAUUAAGAUUAAGAAAGGCCACCAAAAAUUAAAAAUACAAAUACCAUAUGAGCCAGCUAUCCCACUACUGGGUACUUAUCCGAAGGACAUGAAAUCAACAAUCCAGAGUGAUUUAUGCACCUCUAUGUUCAUUGCAGCAUUAUUCACAAUAGCCAAGAUGUGGAAGCAACCCAAGUGCCCACCAACUGAUGACUGGGUAAAGAAGAUGUGGUGUAUGUAUACAAUGGUAUGCAACUCAGCCAGAAAAAAAAGACAAAAUUGUCUCAUUUGCAACAAGAUUGAUGGACUUGAGGGUAUUAUGUUAAGUGUAAUAAGCCGGACGGAGAAAGACAAACACCGUAUGAUUUUACUCAUACGUGGAAGAUAAACACAUGGACAAAGAGAAUAGAUUGGUGGUUACCAGAGGGGAAGGGAGUUGGGGGCGGGCAAAAGGGGUAAAUGGGCACAUAUAUAUGGUGACGGGUAAAAACCAGACUAUUGGGGUUGAGCACAAAGCAGUCUAUACAGAAACUGAUAUAUAAUAAUGUACACGUGAAAUUACACAAUGUUAUAAGCCCAUAUGUCGUCAAUAAAAUAAUUAAAAAGAUGAUUAAGAGAGGCCAAGGGUCAGAUAAAAAUUGAGAUUCCAAGGAGAGAUCAAUGAGUGCUGAUCUCUCUAUGGCAGGAAUUCCAGAAAGAGAGCAUUGUCUGAUCUGAAGAGAUAAUAACCAAGAAAAUCCCCAGGUGGAACUUUGCAUGCGUCUGGAGUAGAAGUGCCUAGCCAAGCACAAGUCGAUCAUCAGCAAUGACCCAGAGCAAAGUGCAUACCGGAACAGCCUGGUGACAGAUAUGUCAUCAACUUCCCCAAAGUCCAAGUAGUAUAGAGUGAAAAUAUUCAACAGGAAAGGAAAGAGAUCAAGACAUGAAUCAAGUUUUAAUCUUAGACAUUUAGAAUUAAGUUGCAAUUUCGUGGUUGAUUCAGUUGACUGACGUUUGUGUAUGAUCAGCAAUUUUACUGUAUAGCAACUUCAAAUUGUGUUUAAAAAUUGAGACGCUGAUCGUGUUACUUAUGUAAGUGAAUAUUUGAAAGAUUUCUUAUCCACUUAAAGAUUGAUUGAAUGGAGAAGCAAUACUAAGCCCUUGGUUUCUUUUCUAUGCUAUCAAAAAUAAGAGAUGAAUUUACUAGGUUAAAAGGAGGUAAGAAUUCUUGAGUUGCCCAGGGAAGAAUUCAGAGCCCCUGUGUUAGACUCUGGUGAAAUUACUGCUGAUGGAAACUGGCUCAUAAUGGAAAGAUGAUGAUGCAGGAUGAAAACAGUGAGGGGCAGUAGUUGGUGGUCCUUGAAUGAAGACUAGGUGCAUUGCUCCCAUAGAGAGACAUCUUCCACACUGAAACUUGGUGUCAUCAGCAGAGUGAUGUCUCCCCAAAGAUGUCUACCUCUGAAUCCCUGGGAUCAGUGAAUAUGUCACCUUACAUGGCAUAGGGACUUUGCAGAGGUGAUUAAGGUAAGGCUCUUGAGAUGGAAAGAUGAUCCUAGAUUAUCCAGCUGAGCCCAAUGUCAUCACAUGUGUCCUUUUAAGAGGGAUUCAAGAGUGUCAGAGUUAGAGAAGGAGAUACGACGGUGAAAGCAGACAUCUGAGUAGUGUGCUUUGAAGAUGAAGGCAUGAGCCACUAGCCAAGGAAUGCAGGUUGCUUCUAGAAACUUUUAAAGGCAAGGAAUGAAUUCUGCCCUAGAGCCUUCGGAAGGAACCAGCCCUGCUGACAUCUUGAUUUUGGCUCCAUGUGGCUCAAGUUGGACUUCUGACCUCCAGAACUGUAAAAUAAUGCAUUUGUUUUGUUUUAGGUCCAUUAGUUUGUGGUAAUUUUUUACAACAGCAAUGAAAACUAUUACAGAUUCCAUUUGGGGAAAGCUUACAUGGUGCUGAACACAGAGUGACUCCUCAAUAAAUGAUAGUUUCUUCUCUCCCUUCUCCCCUCCCUCCCUUCUUUCUUAAAGAAAAAUUCAAAUAUGUUAUAGGACUCUCAAUAUUACUAAUUAAGGAUUCUACGGGAGAAAAUUAUCAUGGCUCUAUAAAGAUAAAUGGUAACUCACUUGUUUUCUUCUCAGCUUGUCGAACACAGUGAAUGGGUCUUGGCAAGCUAAUGCACAAUAAGCAUGAUUUUCUUGCUGAUUCAUGAUUAGCAUGCUUUUCAUGCUUAAUAAUUGUGUUUCACUUCAUUUUUGUAAAAGACAGAUAUGCUAAGGUCAUAAGGAAGAACCAUGCAAUUUUGUUCCUUGCCUUUGAGCUAAAUCCACUGAGCACAUUUGUCUGGGAGUUUUGGGGAGACACUAAGAAAACAGAACAAGACAUACAUAUUGUCCGUUUUUUAUAUAUCCCAGUGGGUAUGGGGGAAUGAAAUACUUCCAGGGACAAGCACAAAAAUGGGACAACCUCGGAAACGUAGUUAUGGUUCUCUGCUUGCACAUAUUGAGAGUGGCAGGAUGUAUGGAUGAGUCAUCGAGGCACAGAAAUGUACCUUCCGUGAGGUGGGUUAUGGGUUAUGGGUUAUGGGUUCAAGUCCAAUUUAAUGAUCCUAAAAGCCAGUUUCCUGAAGAAAGAAUUGUGGUCCAGCGAUUGCAUCAGUCCCUAUGUGGCCUCCAUCCUGGAAGGUCAGGUUGCAAUACAACAAGGUGCAGAGUUGCCCCUGCGAGUCUCCGCUGCAGGAGGUGCAUUAUGGAGCUCACCCAUGGCAUAGCACAGACGCCAAUCUAUUGAGCACAUAGACCUGCCCAGGCGGCAGCCACACAUUCCUAGGUGCAGAGAAACUAUUUAGAGCAUAUGGGUCCAGCCCAUGGGGACCCUCCCUAUUUCCUCUGUCUCUUGUUUUCCUGAAGAGAUGACCUGUGCCCAGUUUGGAGAUGAACGCUGCCUUCUUCAAUUCAUAGCUAAGCCAGUCUGGGCUUGUGCCGCUAAGAGGCAGAUCCCCUGGAAUCAGUUCAGCAUUUGGGUUAAAUGCUGCAAAGCAGGAAGAGUCUGAGAUGAAGAUUGGAACAAGCCUGUGCGACAUCACCUCUGAAUUCCCUAGGGCCAGUCAUUUAAGGUAGUGAUGAGUCCAUUUCAUUUUCUUGGCCUUCUUGCUAAUGUUUUGCAUUUUGGUCUGUUUUCUGUUUAUUAUUUUUUAUUACUUAGAAAUCAGGCUCAAUGAAAAGAGAUUAAACCAAAUGUGUUCAGUUUUGUAAUGGCUCCAGCAAAUGCGGAGGAAUGGAAGGGUGGAAAUAAGAGAAUAGAGUGGGGUUUUUAGAUUUCCCAUAAAUUUUGUUUUUACAAAUUCUCAUUGUUUUGCACACACACAUGCACAGCUAUAACUUUCCAUCCAUCCAUCCAUCCAUGCAUCCAUUCAUCCAUCCAUCUGUCAUUCAUCCAUUCACACAUCCAUCCAUCCAUCCACCCACUCAUCUAUUCACCCAUCCAUUCACCCAUCCAUCUACCUGUCCAUCCAUCCACCCAUCCACCUAUUCAUCCACACAUUCAUCCACCCAUCCAUCCACCCAUCAUCCAUCAUCCAUCCAUCCACAUAUUCCAUCCAUCCAUCCAUCCACCCAUCUCUUCAUCCAUCCAUUCACCCAUACAUCUACCCAUCCAUCCAUCUACCCAUCCAUCCUUCCAUCCGUCUGUUCUCCAUCCAUCUAUCUAUCCAUCUUUUAUUCCUUCUCUCUCUCUGUAUUUGUGUAUUUUGAGGCCAAAAUUGAGUUUAAUGCUCCUUUUCUUCUGCCUACCAGGGAAAGCAGAGAUAGUUUACAAUGCUGCCAUGCAAACACUUUUCCUCUCGGAUGAGCCAUCCUGUUCAUAAAUGUCUUUUCGCUUUCUGCAGUUCUCCUCUGAUUCUGAAAAUCCCCCCUGAUCUCCCCAGCUUCUGCUCCAAAAGGCACAUAUCCAGCCCCUCAUGGAACCCAGAACAGCACCAAGAUUUCUAUUGAAGGAGAUUCUCUUUUCUUCAAAGGGAAAGCUGCAACUCUCCUCCCUUAUUAUGCAUCACAUGAUCCUGUCCUCAACAUCUGACCUUCAGGCACAGCUGGAAGGAUCAGGAUGAACACCUGACCCUAUCACGAGCAUUCCUUGAAUGGACAGUGACUCAUGACUUGUGUGGCCUUUCUAGAAAUGACAAGCCAGGCCAAACAGAGGCUUCCUCUUGGGGAUUUGAAUAAAGAUUGAAGGAAAUCUACAUUCCGCAAAGGCAUGAAAAGCUGAAGAAAUGCUGUUUGGUAGAGUAGUGCAAUGACAAGUCCAAGAAGCGAUCAAGAAGCCAAGAUUGAGACAGCAGAAGCAUCUGGUCAACCUGAAUCCAGAGGGCGCCAUUUACAUGGGCUGAGCAUGGGGCCUCUGCUGGAGAUGCAUGCUGCAUAAACUUGCAAGGUGUUUUUAGGGAGAUAAAAGAAGAUGAAAAUGGAGCUAACCUGAGAGAGGAGAGGAGCUACAUGGUUUCUGAGAGAGAGUUGGAGAGAGCAGUUGUUUCCUGGAGCAACUUUCGUCCCUGACGUGACUCGGUUGUACUUUCUGUCAAACCCAGAUAUUCCCAGUCCUUGAAUUCCUAGGAGAGCUCAACCUUCUUGUCCAAUACAACAAUCUUCCAGCUUCCUUCCCUUAAGAGCUUGAAUCACUCUUGGUUUCUCGAAAGAAAGAGGUUGUGAGAACAGGAGGACAAGAAUGACAGGACCCUGAAGGAGAAGAACUCGUGUUGGCUGAACACUCAUCGACACUCGGGUACCGUGUGAGGUACUUUCAUGGGCAGUAUCUCAUUUUAUCCCCGUGCAUUUAGGAGGCAGAAAUUGAGGCGACCUAACUGGUUCAAAAUCACCUUGUCAUGGUGGAGGGGACUUUUAGCCCAUUCUUUCUGAAUCCAAAACCUCCCUCUGAAUCUUCUUGUUCAGUCUGUAAGCAUCCUGAUCUCCAGUUUAGGAAAAUGGUUGUUUGAUAGAGAAUAAGAUGGUUUUUUCUCCUUACGAUCACUUCCUUUCUACAGAAGGGGGCAUCGUGACUAAUUGAAAACAUCAGUUUUACUUUAUUUUUUGUUGUAGUACAAAAGGAAGACACAGGUGAUUUUAAAACAGAAGUGUGUGAAUAAAAUAGACUCAUCCCCUGUUAGGGUCUUUAUGUCAAUGACCCGUUUUCCCAUUUAGGACUUGCAGUGAGUUGAAUGGUGGCCCAUCAAAAGACAUGACCACAUCCCUGUGAACGUGACCAUAUUUGGGAAGAGUCUUUGCAAAUGUAAUUAGGUGAAGAAUCUUGAGAUGAGAAUAUCUGGGAUGAGGGUGGUCCUAAAUCCAAUGACAACUGUCCUUAUAUGAUACAGAAGAGAAAAGACACAGACACAGAGGAGAAGCCAUGUGAAGGCCGAGGCAGAGAUGGAAAGGAUGUGGCCACAAGCCAAGGGACACUUGGAGCCCGCAGAAGCUGGAAGAGGCAGAAAGGCACCCCCCUGGAGCCUCGGGAGGGAGAGCAGCCCUGCAUCACCUUUAUCUCAGACUUCCGGUCUCCAGGACUGAGAGAGGGGAUAAAUUCCUGCGGUUUGAAGCCCCCCAGUUUGUGAUACUUUGUUAGACCUGCCAUGGGAAACUCACGCAGGGCUCUUCCUCUAUUUUUCUGUGCUUUCGUUAUUUAUGGGACCUGUGUACAAUGUUUUUAUGUUUAAUACAUGGGCUGUAUUGAUUCCUGAUCUGGAAAAUCUCUUAAAAAAUAAGAGAGAACUUAAUAAGAAAAAAUUAAACCACCCAUAUCUCACUAUCCAAUUUUAUCAGAAUAAAAUAAGGAUGAAAUGUCAUUAAGACUGAUGACACAACAUUUUCAUAUUUCAAGUUCCACUUAUAAAAGCGCUCCCCCAACACAAUCUCCCCAUACCCACCUUCCCACCAUGAUCAUAGUUAUCAGAAGUUGAGAGAGAGAAAUCUUUAUUGAUCUCUAAAAAUUACUGGAUUGAGUGAUUCUCAUGCUUCACUACCUUGUAAGUUUUUAGUAUUGUUUUCCAAACUUUUCAGAUAAAGAAUCUGUGCCUCAAAGGGAUUGUUUCUUGACCAAGGUCACCCAGCUCAUGCAGGACAGACGUGGUAUUGCUUUAUUGUAAACAUGCAGCAAUCCUCUGGGGACCCUGUUAGAAUCACAAACUUGUGGGGUACACUCAGCCCAGAAACCCACCAGGGUAGGGAUGGACUACAAGAAUCCAUGAUUUUGACUUGCAAGUCAACUAAUGAAAGGCAAUUGUUCUCAACCACAUUUGGAGAUGUGAGGAGGAGAUUCCACGAGUCUCGUUGUUGGAGAAAUCGUUCCCCAAGUUCAGAGAAGGGAUGGAUGGGUGGGCUCCCCCUCUUUCUGUUCCUUUCUUGGUGCCAGCAAUGCAGGGUACUGGGAACAACCACUGAAGUAUUCCUUAUGGAAUAUUUGUACAGUUCCCAAAACUGGAGUGAGAGGAAACACGUUUGCUUGGAGAGAAAGGUCUAAGUCUUGCAAGACCGUACAGAUCUGGAGGGGUUUAGUGCUGAAUUUUUGAGUCUGAGGGAGUAAGAUGUCACCAUAUUUGGGGUCCUCCAUUUGCAGAAGCCCCUGAGGCUGGGAGUGCUUUGGGAUUGAGAUUAUCCAGGUAGAGGCAGUCUUCACGGUACCAACGGACUGCUGCCGACUCUCUUCCGUCAUAGACUCUUCUAGAUUAAUGGUUUAUAAAGAAGGGGCUGUGUUCCCCCAGGGAGGAAGUAAGAUGAUCUCGUUGGGUAUGGAAAAAUAUGAGAACUUCUACAUAUAUGUAUUUUAUUUACUAAACAGGAAAAAAUAAGCCUUGCUAAUAUGUAGUCUAUUGACAAUUGUACUUGUAUACAUAUCGAGCAUGUGCUGAAAAGUUUUAUAAUAUUGAGCAUAAUCAAAAAACAUGACCACGAUUGCUGUAGACUUUAGACUUCAUCUACUCACUUCCUCUUUCCGUCUCUCACAAAGCAGUUGAGAUUUCUCAUUUUUGGUUAAUGUCCUGCCCACACCCACACCCUUUUUUCAGUGUGUAGGAUUUCUGUACUUCCAUGUUUUUAUUUCACUGAGGAUUUUUGGAGAAAUGAGAGUCAAACUGAUAGCCCAUCCUGACCCAUUUCUGCGUCUUCUUUACAACCAGAGAACACAUGUCAAUUUUGGAAUGGUGAUCUGGUGUUCUAGGUGCAGGUGGGUGUGCUUGUGUGUGUGAAUGUGGUGUGCAUGUGAGUAGGCUGUGUGUCUGGGUGUAUUCAAGUGCACAUGUACAUGGUAUGUAUGUUUGCAUGUGUAUGUGUGUGUGCGUGCACUGUGUAGUGUGUGCAUGUGCAAUAUGUGGGCAUGUGUGGUGUAUAUUGACUGUGUAUGUGCAUCUGUGGUGUGUGUUGUGUGCUUAUGUGUAAAUGUGGGGUGUUUAGUGUGUGCAUGUAUAUGUGUGGUCUGUAUAGGCAUAUGCACGUGUGGGGUAUGUGUGCAUGCUUACAUGCAUGGUGUGGAUGCCUAUGUGAUGUGUUUGCGUGCACACGUGCAAUGUGUGUUUAGCAUGUAAACUGGUAUAUGUGCAUGUAUAGUGUAUACAUGUAUGUAUGCACAUGUGUGAUGUGUGUUUGGUGUGCAUGUUUGUGCGUGGAUGUGUAUGUGUCAGUAGGAGGCUGAUGCUACAUGCACGAGGGAAUUAAAAUCCAUUCAAUCCAGUUACUUCAGUCCAGUGUAAGCCUAGACACAAUCCCUUCAGGGGAAAUACUGUCAUUAUGAUUUCCCCUCCAUCUCUCCUCCCUGAGUGACAUCUGGGCUCUGAAGGGGGCUUCUGUGCCUUCCAGGAAGUGGAGCAAAGGGUCCAGGUUGCCAGGUGCUGUGCUCUGCUGUCUCAGGUCUUUUAGUCUAUGUUCCAGGAUGUCCUGGGAGCUGCUGGCACUCGUGGCUGAUGUCCAUGGCUGGCGAGCUCUGUGGUCUGGCCAAGGGCAGAUGGUGCUUCUGGCUGCAAUUGUACCAGAGUAGCACCCUCCAGUGAGUCGCUGCAGUAUCUUCCACCCCAUCCUAAUGCAAUCUGUCCUGUCCCGUGACCUGGCUAUGGGGUCAUGUUGUUCCCCCAUCAGGGGCCUCAGUCUCUUCCAGUGGCUUGCCCUUCACCAUCUGCACCCUUCAUGAAGAGCACAAAUGAGGCUCGGAUUGGGGCAGGUGGGGGGGGGGGGGCAACUGUACCCUUUCUGUGCCAAGCAAAUGUGACCAUUCAAGAACAGACGGGAGCUGUGAAUAAACUCAACCCCAGUGCUUCUCUCUGGGAGCCGAAGACCCGAUUGCUGCUUUCAAGGUGUCCACCGCAUGGGAGAUUUCCUCCUCUUUGCAGAACCAGUCUCUGUAGGAGCCAGAGCAUCACGGACAGAAAGACAUCUCAUCCUGGAGAGAAAAAUGGUACUGCAGAGGAAGCAAGAGUUCUGCGGCCAAAUGAAUUUAGACUGUAAUCCUGGCUAGUUUAUGGUCCUCCAGAGAGUGCUGUAGCCUCUUUCUGCCUCAGUUUCCUCAUCUGUGCAAAUCGGGUUGGUGGUGUCACCCUCUCAGUGAUAAGGAGCCCUGGGAGGGGGCGGUGCUGAGUGGACCCUCAGGACUCAUGCACGUCCUGUAACAGUAUAGAACAUUGAUGGCUGACUGCACGGCGGAAUGCCAGGUCAUGGAGAAUAGGAACAGGUCACAGUGGGUCCCAGAGACUCCUUUGUUCCAGAGCAAGGUCUAGAUGACUUUGUUCCUAGGGGGCACUUGGCAAUGUCUGAAGGUCAUGUGUUGGUGGUCACAACUGGUGCAGAUGUGAGCUGUUGGCACCUUGUGGGUGGAGACCAGGGAUGAUGCUCAACAUCUUACAGGGCACAGGGCAGCCCCCAGCGCAGAGAAUGGUCCUGCCCAAUGGCAAUAGUGCUGAGGUUGAGAAAGUUUGCCUUUGCAUGAGAGAUCCCUUCUCUCUUUCUCAUCUUUCUCUCUCUCUCUGUCUCUGUAUCUAUCUAUAUCUCUUAUCAUGUAUCUAUAUAUCUUUUGUCUAUCCUCUAUCAUUAUUUAUCAAUCAUUCACCUAUCAUUAUCCAUCUAUCAAUCAUUUAUCUAUCAAUCAAUCUAUCAUCUAUCUGUUCAUCAUGUCUUUAUCUCUCUCUAUCUAAAUAUGGCUGAUUUAAAUCGAAUCAGUUGUAUCUCUCUAUGUAUAAAAUAUACUCUUUUACAUUCCUUUAUAUGU